rnacentral:rRNA from 1 species
CCCGACUGCUAUUUGGGUGAGGAUAAGCCAUGCGAGUUGAAUGGGAUACCUAAGGUUCCCAUGGCAAACUGCCCAGUAACACAUGAUCAACUUACCCUAUAGAGAAAAAUAACCUCGGGAAACUGAGGAUAAUGUUUCAUAGUUGAAUUGGCUUGGAAAAGUUUUUCGACGAAAGGGGUAAAAAAAAUGGUUUUUAUCUGCUAUAGGAUAGGAUCGUGUUCGAUUAUGGUUGUUGGUGAGGUAAUGGCUCACCAAGCCGAUAAUCGAUAGGGGCCGUGAGAGCGGGAGCCCCGAGAUGGGUACUGAGACAACGACCCAGGCCUUACGAGGCGCAGCAGGCGCAAAACCUCCGCAAUACACGAAAGUGUGACGGGGUUACCCAAAGUGUUCAUUAGAACUGUGGUAGGUGAGUAAUGUUCCCUACUAGAAAGGAGAGGGCAAGGCUGGUGCCAGCCGCCGCGGUAAUACCAGCUCUCCGAGUGGUAGGGAUGAUAUUGGGCUUAAAGCGUCCGUAGCCGGCUUAGCAAGUCUCCUGUUAAAUUCAGCGACCUAAUCGUUGAGCCGCGGGAGAUACUACUAGGCUAGGAGGCGGGAGAGGUCGACGGUACUUCUGGGGUAGGGGUGAAAUCCUAUAAUCCCGGAAGGACCACCAGUGGCGAAGGCUGUUGACUAGAACGCGCUCGACGGUGAGGGACGAAAGCUGGGGGAGCGAACCGGAUUAGAUACCCGGGUAGUCCCAGCCGUAAACGAUGCGGGCUAGGUGUUGGGGUGGCUACGUGCCACUUCAAUGCCGCAGGGAAGCCAUUAAGCCCGCCGCCUGGGGAGUACGGCCGCAAGGCUGAAACUUAAAGGAAUUGGCGGGGAAGCACCACAAGGGGUGAAGCCUGCGGUUCA